UUGGGGGGGAGGAGACGACUCCAGCCGCGGAGAGGCUCCUCCCCUCCUCCCGGGGGCGGCGGGCGGGGUGUGGGGGCCGUGCCACCUCCCCCAGGUAGGGCCGCCCUCCCCUCCGCCCUCGGCGGGCCAGCCUCGGGGGACCCAGUGCCCCCCACCAGCCUGGGAGGCUCCGCCGAGUUCCGGAAGAGCCCCUGAGGAUGAGACCUGCCACCUGCCUCUGAAGAGGGCACUCCCUCCGGCCGCACCCUCCGGGGCGCAGCAGCUUCCUCCCCUUGCGGGGGGACGCGUGGAGACAGGUCUUGCAACACAGACUGUUCCGGGCUUGCUGCUGCUCGUCUUACCUCUAAGAGAAGGAAAAAAAGAGAGAGAGAAAGAAAGAAAAUACAACCCGGGCCUCACCU